UCUUAUUUUCCUUAUUAUAUCAUUUAACCAUUGUUGCAUGUUGGUAUCUACCUGAACUUUAUUUGUAUCUUUAUUUUAUCAAUCGUAGCGUGGUCAUUCUGGUUAUAGUGAUAGGGUAUUAGAUUCAAUGACUUUACGUAUAUAAGGCCUAUAUUUAUAGAGGCCUUAUUCUUUAUAUG
rnacentral:misc_RNA from 1 species